rnacentral:rRNA from 1 species
UCCUACGGGAGGCUGCAGUGGGGAAUAUUGGGCAAUGGGCGCAAGCCUGACCCAGCAACGCCGCGUGAAGGAAGAAGGCUUUCGGGUUGUAAACUUCUUUUGGCAGGGACGAAGAAAGUGACGGUACCUGCAGAAUAAGCUCCGGCUAACUACGUGCCAGCAGCCGCGGUAAUACGUAGGGAGCGAGCGUUAUCCGGAUUUACUGGGUGUAAAGGGCGCGUAGGCGGGAGUGCAAGUCAGAUGUGAAAUCUCCGGGCUCAACCCGGAAACUGCAUUGGAAACUGUAUUUCUUGAGUGAUGGAGAGGCAAGCGGAAUUCCUAGUGUAGCGGUGAAAUGCGUAGAUAUUAGGAAGAACACCAGUGGCGAAGGCGGCUUGCUGGACAUUAACUGACGCUGAGGCGCGAAAGCGUGGGGAGCAAACAGGAUUAGAUACCCGAGUAGUCA